GAGAUUCAGAAGAUAACAACAAGGAUAACAUCGAGAUCUUAAACGGGGUAUGCCCCAACUGUUCUACCACAUCAAAAUCACUCUUGCGGAUGAUUUUUAGCACUUCUUCCAUUUCUUGCUUGGCAAUGUCUUCAGUAGUAACCUCGACCGGUGUCUCUGACUGAGAAGGGUUGACUGGUUCCUUUCCUCGCGGUUCAGGGACGGGAGGUGAGAUUUCUGGAGAAAAGACCCUUCCACUUCGAGUAAUUCUACUAGUCCCAACAAUGUCAACGUCAUUAGGAUUAGCAGGAUUAUCAUCUUGCUUCACGCCAUGGAUGUAAACAUCACCUCCAUAAUUCCAAGGAAUGGCUUUGCUUGAGGAAUACGGUACUGGGCCAGGUGC
rnacentral:lncRNA from 1 species